GAGGUCUGAGAAGCUUGUCUUUUCCUGCGCAUGCCCUCUUCCAACUCACGGACCGACUUCCUUCUUUGUGGGAGCUUCAUUUUUAGAGCCAUUUUCACCACCAGAGCAAGCAAGGAGACUUGGGAGAUCAAAUGUGUGAGGAGAUAGAGGGUUAUUAGGGGAUGGAUAGGGAUUUUUGGAGAAGAAAAACCUCGAUUUGGAGGAGAAGGGUAGG
rnacentral:lncRNA from 1 species